UGAGUAACCUGCCCUUAACUCUGGGAUAAGCCUGGGAAACUGGGUCUAAUACCGGAUAUGACUCCUCAUCGCAUGGUGGGGGGUGGAAAGCUUUAUUGUGGUUUUGGAUGGACUCGCGGCCUAUCAGCUUGUUGGUGAGGUAAUGGCUCACCAAGGCGACGACGGGUAGCCGGCCUGAGAGGGUGACCGGCCACACUGGGACUGGGACACGGCCCAGACUCCUACGGGAGGCAG
rnacentral:rRNA from 1 species